rnacentral:rRNA from 1 species
UCCCAGACUCCUACGGGAGGCAGCAGUGGGGAAUAUUGGGCAAUGGGCGCAAGCCUGACCCAGCAACGCCGCGUGAAGGAAGAAGGCUUUCGGGUUGUAAACUUCUUUUCUCAGGGACGAAGAAAGUGACGGUACCUGAGGAAUAAGCCACGGCUAACUACGUGCCAGCAGCCGCGGUAAUACGUAGGGAGCGAGCGUUGUCCGGAAUUACUGGGUGUAAAGGGAGCGUAGGCGGGGAUGCAAGUUGGAUGUUUAAACUAUCGGCUCAACCGGUAAUUGCAACCAAAACUGCAACUCUUGAGUGAAGUAGAGGCAGGCGGAAUUCCUAGUGUAGCGGUGAAAUGCGUAGAUAUUAGGAGGAACACCAGUGGCGAAGGCGGCCUGCUGGGCUUUAACUGACGCUGAGGCUCGAAAGCGUGGGGAGCAAACAGGAUUAGAUACCCCUGUA